rnacentral:miRNA from 1 species
UUGGACACGACAAGUGACUUU